UUAAAGGGUGCUUACUUUGAUAACACUAAAAUUUAAAUGAUUCAGAGACGAUUAGCAUGGCCCCAAGCAAGGAUGAUAUGCAAGUUCAUCAAGCGUUCCAUAUUUGU